CCUACGGGUGGCAGCAGUGGGGAAUAUUGCACAAUGGGGGAAACCCUGAUGCAGCGACGCCGCGUGAGUGAAGAAGGAAUUCCGUAUUUAAAGCUCUAUCAGCAGGGAAGAAAAUGACGGUACCUGAGUAAGAAGCCGCGUCUAACUACGUGCCAGCAGCCGCAGUAAUACGUCGGGGGCAAGCGUUAUCCGGAUUUACUGGGGGUAAAGGGAGCGUAGACGGCAGUGCAAGUCUGGAGUGAAAGGCGGGGGCUCAACCCCCGGACUGCCCUGGAAACUGUACGGCUUGAGUGCAGGAGAGGUAAGUGGAAUUCCUAGUGUAGCGGUGAAAUGCGUAGAUAUUAGGAGGAACACCAGUGGCGAAGGCGGCAUACUGGACUGCAACUGACGUUGAGGCACGAAAGCGUGGGGAGCAAACAGGAUUAGAUACCCCUGUAGUC
rnacentral:rRNA from 1 species